GCCCCGGUGGCGAAAUUGGUAGACGCAACGGACUUAAAAUCCGUAGGCCGCGAGGCUGUGCCGGUUCGAGUCCGGCCCGGGGCACCA
rnacentral:tRNA from 1 species